GUCUAUUUGAUAAUCAUUAACAUGUUCCGUCGUUAACCUUCAAGCAGCUUUGCUUGAAACUUUAUAUGCGACUUUUCAAACAUUUGUCUUGCAUUGCAGACUGUGGUUUGCUGGGGCUGUUUUUAUAAUCACUAGUGGUAAAAUCAGGAAGAUGAAAAAUGGGUGUGUAUUGAAGAGCAGCGUAUCCAGCAUUCUAAGUCUUAAAUUAGAGUGAUGAGCAUAAACAUUGCAAACAGAGCUUUUUCAACUCGAUUGCAAUUAUAUUUGAAAUUACCUACAAUUGCCAGUAACCAUCUCAAAGCUAGAAAUUAACUUUGUCGGCUCUCGUCCAGACGGAUCAGCUGUUAAACGUGCUGUCUCGUGCAGCUGAACGGAGGGAAGGGAAGGGAAAAAGGGUGAGGAGGCGUCUGAAUGGCAACCGUGCUGUGUUCUGGCUGAAGCGGAGCUUGUGCUGCCUGUCGUGAGUGUGCACGCUUUGCUUUCACUUUCCAAUCAACCCAAGGCCAGUUUUUGACACGUAGUUUGGGAAAUUGUGGCUUUGCUGACCUCAGUGGAAGCCAGUGCACAAAGUGGCCCCAGGGAAUGGCAGGGAGAUAUGUCAGGGGAGGUUCAGGUUGGACAUGAGGAAAAGGUUCUUCACCCAGUGGGUGCUGGACACUGAACAGGCUCCCCAGGGAGGUGUCACGGCCCCAAGCCUGACAGUGUUCAAGAAGAGACUGGACAACACCCUCAGACACACGGUGUGAACUGUGGGGUUGUCCUGUGCAGGGACAGGAGUUGGACUUGAUGAUCCUGGUGGGUCCUUUCCAACUCGGGACAUUCUAUGAUUCUAUAUUUUUUGCUGUGAAAUCUGGCAGAGACACGGCUCAAUCCCAGUGUUAACAGACAGAAGCAAAGCUCCCCUGCAGCACUCAGGGUUGCUGGGGGGACAUCUCUGUCUUUUCAAACGAGAACCUCGUCCCUCCAUACCUGCCCUGUCCAGGAUGCUGUGCAGUUUGCAAAAUCCAACAUCCAGAGGUGAAUUAAUGUGAGCAGGAAAACGCCCCUGAGCAGUUACCAGAGCAAGGAACACACUGCAUUGACUCUGCAGUUGUGCUCAACUCUGGCCUAGUGUCCUCCCUUCCUACGUGGAGCUUGGUGGGCUCUGCCGUGGGCGAACAGGCUGCCCAUGUCUCCCUCCCUCGGGUCAAGUCUUGAGCAAAAGGUUACGUUUAUGGCAGAUCCCACUUACUGCCUGAGCAGCUAAAAAGUAAUAUUUUUUAAUUUCUGCUCUGCUUGAUGAUUUCCUGCUGUUAUUUCUUCAACUGACCUUCGCAAUUCAUUUGGCUGACUCUAUACCAAUUUCUUCCAUGGCCGCUAUGCCUGGAGAAGUUCAGAUUCUUCUCCAUCCUCUUCCAGAAUCAAUCAGUGCACGAGGACAUUGCCAUGGCUCUGUGGCUGCAGUGGACUCAACUGAUUUUCGGCUAGUGGAGCUGAGGGAGGUAUUUUGCCCAAAGCAUCUCAUAAAUGCUUGUGAUUUCAGUUUCCAACAUGACUCUGAGCUGGGGAAUGAGAAUGUGCCAGGAGUGUCAGUGACAGCUUUAGAAAUGGAUUGUUUGCAUAAACUUGAAAACAGUACAAGCAUAAAUGUAUUUCCUUUGUUUAACUUUUCACUCUUGUUUACUCGUCUCUGCUUCUAAAAGGCUUUGCAAGUAAACUCUGCAAAUCUUUGAGUUUCACAGGCAUUAAUGGGGGCUGGGAGUUCUGGGCUGGUUCCUCGGCCCUGACGUCUGGGAGCUGAGGCACGGAGCAAUUCACAAGGCAUCAGAACCAGCUGGAAGAUUUUUACUCGCUUUGCUUUGGAACCCUCUGUGCCCUUGGGGUUUUGUCGACUCCCCAAGGACAGCACCCACCUCCUGGGUGCUGUGAUGUCUGCAGAGCUCUGGGAGGCUCAGCCCCUUCUCCGUGUGCUUCAGAGCUGUGUGGGCAAUGCAGAAAAGUGACCUGCAAAAGCAGACAGGCUCAGGGUUUCCUCUGAGGAACACAGAGGCUUCUGUGGACUGCAGUUUUCUUUGCUAGAGAAAAUCUGCUUAGCCUGUGAGCUUUUGAGGGAAAUAACUGGGUUUUAGUGCUGUGUUUUACAGCACCCGUGCAGCUGAGUCCUGGUCUAUGUGCACUGGGGAGGAGGGAGAGGAGCUUCAGCUACACAACAAAUGAAAAUGCAGGUGUCUUGUUGCCUUUCAUAAGAAUUCCUCUUCCCCUGUAUUUAUCCAGUCAACACCUUAUUAAACUUGAGUAUAUAGCUUUGUACAGGCUGUCCUUGUUCUGCAUGGAUAUAAAAACCGGGUGCAGGCACUGGUGACUGCAUUGGUGACAUUUUAAAUGGCUACCACCAACUUUUUCCUUGCCUCUUAUGGCAGCUGUAGGGGACUGGGAGGCUGGAGCCACGUGCCUUGGCUUAGCACUGCGAAGAAGAGGAGGAGCAGGACAGCACACAAGCCUCUUGCUUCGGAGCUCCCAGUAAGACUGGAAAGACUGCUCCUGCGAGGUCUCUGAAAGUUAACGGAGAAGAUGGUCAGAAGGCUCAGGUUUGCUCUGCAGGAGUCCACGCUGUCACUCGGGAGUUCAUAGGAUUUCUGCAGUCCUGUUACGCUGGACACAACUUGCUCAGAAAAAGGAGCUGCUCUUGCAGUUAAUGCUGUGAACCAACAUGUGCAAGAACUGGGUUCUCUUGGAUUUCCAGAACAACAUUGGGCAAGUUACUUAAGCCUAAAUCUGCAAAGAAUACAUUGUAGCUUGAUUCCUAGUGAAAUAAAUAGGAAUGAAGUGUAUAAACAUCUUUGUGGAUCUGAACCCUUAUAUGCUCUGAAUUGAAAAUUUCAUCAACUUUCUUCCUGUCUAGUUUACUUAGACUAACAAUUUGUGCACGUAAGAAUUAUUUUUUUGGUGCAUAUGAAUGGAGCCUGGGCAUGAACUUUGUCGCAGCCAAGUCCUUCGAGUGCUACCAUGUGUCUGAUAUGUCACAGAGUGCCCUGUUAAAUGAGCGAGAAUCUGCAAUGGGACAACAGUUGCACCUGCAAUUUUGGUCAUUGUUUUUAGCCUGAUUUCCUGAAAGUAAAGAAAGAUUUACGCA